ensembl:snoRNA small nucleolar RNA SNORA76
AUGUGCUGCCUUUGAGCCUCUGGUGCCCUUCCUGGUGACACCUGGGGUUAAGCUGCAGCACCAUAGCAAUUGUUAGAGCCUAACUGGGACUGCCUGCCCAUCACCAGCAGCCCUUUUAACUGCUAGCUACAGGC